UACGUAGGGUGCAAGCGUUGUCCGGAAUUAUUGGGCGUAAAGAGCGUGUAGGCGGCCCGAUUAGUCCGCUGUGAAAGUCCAGGGCUCAACCCUGGAAUGCCGGUGGAUACUGUCGGGCUAGAGUCCGGAAGGGGCGAGUGGAAUUCCUGGUGUAGCGGUGAAAUGCGCAGAUAUCAGGGGGAACACCAAUGGCGAAGGCAGCUCGCUGGGACGUGACUGACGCUGAGACGCGAAAGCGUGGGGAGCAAACAGG
rnacentral:rRNA from 1 species